rnacentral:misc_RNA from 1 species
ACAAACUUGGUCAUUUAGAGGAAGUAAAAGUCGUAACAAGGUUUCCGUAGGUGAACCUGCGGAAGGAUCAUUACCUUUCAAACGGGGGGUUCUACUGCUCCUAUCCCGGUAGUCGAGCGCCGGUAGAGCCCCUGUCUGCACCCUUGUCUUUUGCGUACUUAUGUUUCCUCGGCAGGCUUGCCUGCCGACUGGACUCUUAAACUCUUUUGAUGUAUAAAUCAGCGUCUGAAACAAAUCAAUAAUUACAACUUUCAACAACGGAUCUCUUGGUUCUGGCAUCGAUGAAGAACGCAGC